rnacentral:lncRNA from 1 species
AGCACAAAACCCAUGGUGGCUCUAUGCUGGGAGGUGGAAGUUAUGCAUGUCGUUUCUGUGAUUCCAGGUUGGCCAGUAAAACUCUAAACUUCAUUUUUUUCAUUCGCCAUUGAUAAUUAUAGUACCUGCAGACAAAAAAAGAGUAAUCAUAAGUCACUCACUACUCAUAGAUUUGUUUUAUUUCAAAUGAUCAAAAUUCUAAGACCACGAAAUCUGAACAUACUCGGGAUCAAGAUACCCCACUGUGCUCAUGACCGAUGCCACUAUUGAGUCUUACUAUCGCUGGGAAAAACCAUCUUCCAGGUAGCCACGGUAUACAAUCCCAAAUCCUCCUUUCUCAAUUUCAGUAUGAAAGUUUUCAGUGAUUUCUAAAACCUCAUCAUAAGUAAACUGGGACUUCAUUAAUGCUACAGAAAUUUUCUUAUGCUUUUCUCCAUCUGCAGCUUAAGUAGACAAAAAGAUAUGCGUUCAGACCAAAUGGAUAGAAAUACCACGACGCCAC